rnacentral:lncRNA from 1 species
CUCUUUCUAAGCGGGUUCUCCUCAAAAGACUGUACCAUGUUCAGCUUGAGCACCAAGAUGGUGAAGCCCAGUGGCCAGAAGCCGGACGAGUUUGUGUCAAACAUAUCACAGGUGCUUCUGCAGCUGGAGAUGAACUUGUACCUCAAUGCCCAGCUGCAGGAGCUCAACAUCACAGAGACAAGAAAAUUGAAGUUGGUGGUGGUCAGAAAGCUAUCAUAAUAUUUGCUCCAGUUCCUCAGCUGAAAUCUCUCCAGAAAAUCCAACUCCAACUCGUGCAUGAGUUGGAGAAGAAGUUCAGUGGGAAACGUGGUUUUUAG